AUAUUUACCUGGCUGGGGGAGACACUAUGAUCACGAUUGUGGUUUUCCCGGGAUGAGGCUUAUCCAUUGCACUUUGGGUGUCCUGACCCCUGCGAUUUCCCCAAAUGUGGGAGACUUGACUGCAUAAUUUGUGGUUGUGGGGGACUGUGUUCAUGGUCUCCCC